CCCUAGAGGAGCCUGUUCCAUAAUCGAUAAACCCCGAUCCACCUCACCCUCUCUUGCUUAGCCUAUAUACCGCCAUCUUCAGCAAACCCUGAUAAAGGUUACAAAGUGAGCACAAACGCCCUACCGCCGCAAAAACGUUAGGUCAAGGUGUAGCCCAUGAGAGGGUAAAAAUGGGCUACAUUUUCUAUAUCAGAAAACUCCACGAAAACUCUUAUGAAAUCUGAGAGUCCAAGGAGGAUUUAGCAGUAAAUUAAGAAUAGAGUGCUUAAUUGAACCAGGCCAUAAAGCGCGCACACACCGCCCGUCACUCCCCUCAAAUAUAUUUAAGGAACAUCUUAACUAAACGCCCUAGUAUUUAUAUAGAGGGGAUAAGUCGUAACAUGGUAAGUGUACUGGAAGGUGCACUUGGAU
rnacentral:rRNA from 1 species